rnacentral:lncRNA from 1 species
UAAUUGAUUUGUAAGUCUUUGGUGAUUUCUACAGAGCAAACAAUGGUUGUAUCAAUGAACUAUAGUGAUUAAUAAUUGCAGAAAACAAGAGGGUAAAUUUUUGUUUUUGUUUCUCACCAUUCAUUCCUCUCAUAUGUAUAUAUAUAGAUAUUCUAUCGUGGAGCAGUUGGCAGAGCUUGGGGCCACUGUACACACUUGUUCUCGGAACCAAGCUGAACUCAAUGAAUCCUUGAACGAAUGGACCACAAAAGGAUACAGAGUAACCGGUUCGGUCUGUGACAUCACCUCUCGUGUUAACAGAGAAGAGCUGAUAGCAACUGUCUCUUCUC